rnacentral:rRNA from 1 species
CCUACGGGAGGCAGCAGUGGGGAAUAUUGCACAAUGGGCGCAAGCCUGAUGCAGCCAUGCCGCGUGUGUGAAGAAGGCCUUCGGGUUGUAAAGCACUUUCAGCGGGGAGGAAGGCGGUGAGGUUAAUAACCUCAUCGAUUGACGUUACCCGCAGAAGAAGCACCGGCUAACUCCGUGCCAGCAGCCGCGGUAAUACGGAGGGUGCAAGCGUUAAUCGGAAUUACUGGGCGUAAAGCGCACGCAGGCGGUCUGUCAAGUCGGAUGUGAAAUCCCCGGGCUCAACCUGGGAACUGCAUUCGAAACUGGCAGGCUAGAGUCGUGUAGAGGGGGGUAGAAUUCCAGGUGUAGCGGUGAAAUGCGUAGAGAUCUGGAGGAAUACCGGUGGCGAAGGCGGCCCCCUGGACAAAGACUGACGCUCAGGUGCGAAAGCGUGGGGAGCAAACAGGAUUAGAUACCCGGGUAGUC